CGGGGUGAGUAAUGUCUGGGAAACUGCCUGAUGGAGGGGGAUAACUGCUGGAAACGGUAGCUAAUACCGCAUAACGUCGCAAGACCAAAGAGGGGGACCUUCGGGCCUCUUGCCAUCGGAUGUGCCCAGAUGGGAUUAGCUAGUAGGUGGGGUAACGGCUCACCUAGGCGACGAUCCCUAGCUGGUCUGAGAGGAUGACCAGCCACACUGGAACUGAGGCACGGUCCAG
rnacentral:rRNA from 1 species